rnacentral:rRNA from 1 species
AUUUCCCUCUUUCUUCAGGCCUAACACAUGCAAGUCGAGCGGAUGAAGGGAGCUUGCUCCUGGAUUCAGCGGCGGACGGGUGAGUAAUGCCUAGGAAUCUGCCUGGUAGUGGGGGAUAACGUCCGGAAACGGGCGCUAAUACCGCAUACGUCCUGAGGGAGAAAGUGGGGGAUCUUCGGACCUCACGCUAUCAGAUGAGCCUAGGUCGGAUUAGCUAGUUGGUGGGGUAAAGGCCUACCAAGGCGACGAUCCGUAACUGGUCUGAGAGGAUGAUCAGUCACACGGGAACUGAGACACGGUCCAGACUCCUACGGGAGGCAGCAGUGGGGAAUAUUGGACAAUGGGCGAAAGCCUGAUCCAGCCAUGCCGCGUGUGUGAAGAAGGUCUUCGGAUUGUAAAGCACUUUAAGUUGGGAGGAAGGGCAGUAAGUUAAUACCUUGCUGUUUUGACGUUACCAACAGAAUAAGCACCGGCUAACUUCGUG